GAGAUGUAGGCUGAGGUCUUCAAAAACAACGCUGCGGUGAAGUUCCAUUAUCUUCCUAAGGACGCCGGGCGCGUUCGGGUUUCCCGGGGAAAUUUACCGUUUCGAUUAAAUAGUCAUGUAUUAGUCAGGCCUGAUCCUCCCACUACCUGAGCAUCUUCUCCAACCUGCUCGGUAGUUCUGCUCCAAUGUAAACCUUGCUGAAGUGGAGUCUACAAUUGCCAAGUUCUUCUGUGAUCUGUUCAAAAAGAUACUUAUUCAGCAACAAGCAAAUGAGACUGAAACAUGGAAGCGGACCUUAUUAUUGCGUUUAGAAGUCAUAUUCAGAUCUCAGUUUGGACAAAAGUCACCCCUUGUCCUCUCUGCCUCUUUCACACCUAUCCAGGUCUGCCUGCAGCUGUUCCCUGCCCUCCGGCGUGUCCACCGGAAUAACCACUUGUAUCUUCAAGACCAGGGAGCUUGAUUUUGAAGUUUAAUCCACUGCAUGUAAUUCACCUGUGGGGUCCUUUGUACAGGCUGUAGAGGCUGAUAGUCUAACCCAGUUCAAAAGGGAUCCAUUCUUGGAGGAAAAGGCCAUCAAUGGGUAUUGAACCUGGUAGACAAGGGGACAGCCUCUGAAUCAGGACAUCCUGAACCUCUGAAUGCUGGAAGCUGCAGGAGAAGAGGAUGGGAAAUUUUGGACAUGCCCUCUUCAGGACAAGCUGUAGACUGUAAGUGGCAUAAGGACUUUGCUCACCAAUGAGAUCAAAAGAAUAUCUGAGAUAAACACCCAGAACUUGAACCCCUUUCGAUAACGUGUGGAUAAAGGAAUGCUUGGAGCCUUUUCAGAAGGGGAAGUUUCAGGCAGCCAACAGCUGGUACUUUCUGAAUUGUUGUGUGUGAAGGAAUCAAGAAUAUUUCAAAUGCCACAAACCUGCUCCAGUUCCAACCUGGGAUUCCCCAUCCCACCCCCAAGAAAACAGCAUCUCCUUUGAGGACUGAAAAGGAGAUAACAAUCUAAAGUGAACUCUCAUCCCAAAUGUGUGAACUUUCCUUCCCCUUCCUUAUUUCAAAUGAUAUCAUUAUCUUCCAAUUUGCUGCCUAUUUAGCUAUUUGUGUUCUUUUCAUUUAUUAUGCACAUUUUAUCUUUUUUUUUUUUUAAAGCUUACAAUUGCUUCCACUGUAUUCUCUGAUUACGGGUAUAUUUCAACUUUUUCUCUAACAAUCUGAAAAGAAAA